rnacentral:rRNA from 1 species
AACGAACGCUGGCGGCAUGCCUAACACAUGCAAGUCGAACGAGACCUUCGGGUCUAGUGGCGCACGGGUGCGUAACGCGUGGGAAUCUGCCCUUGGGUUCGGGAUAACAGUUGGAAACGACUGCUAAUACCGGAUGAUGUCUUCGGACCAAAGAUUUAUCGCCCAAGGAUGAGCCCGCGUGGGAUUAGCUUGUUGGUGAGGUAAGAGCUCACCAAGGCGACGAUCCUUAGCUGGUCUGAGAGGAUGAUCAGCCACACUGGGACUGAGACACGGCCCAGACUCCUACGGGAGGCAGCAGUGGGGAAUAUUGGACAAUGGGCGAAAGCCUGAUCCAGCAAUGCCGCGUGAGUGAUGAAGGCCUUAGGGUUGUAAAGCUCUUUUACCCGGGAUGAUAAUGACAGUACCGGGAGAAUAAGCCCCGGCUAACUCCGUGCCAGCAGCCGCGGUAA